rnacentral:rRNA from 1 species
GACGAACGCUGGCGGCGUGCUUAACACAUGCAAGUCGAACGGAAAGGCCCUGCUUUUGUGGGGUGCUCGAGUGGCGAACGGGUGAGUAACACGUGAGUAACCUGCCCUUGACUUUGGGAUAACUUCAGGAAACUGGGGCUAAUACCGGAUAGGAGCUCCUGCUGCAUGGUGGGGGUUGGAAAGUUUCGGCGGUUGGGGAUGGACUCGCGGCUUAUCAGCUUGUUGGUGGGGUAGUGGCUUACCAAGGCUUUGACGGGUAGCCGGCCUGAGAGGGUGACCGGCCACAGUGGGGGUGGGAGACGGCCCCGACCGCGGCGGGGGGGAGAAGGGGGGGAUAGUGGACAAGGGGGGGAGGGCGGAAGCAGCGACGCCGGGGGGGGGAGGGGGGCCGUUGGGGGUUAACACGCGUGUGGCGGGGACGAAGGGGGAGGGGAGGGGAGGGGGAAAGAAGCACACGGGAACCCCGUG